rnacentral:lncRNA from 1 species
ACUUCUGCAUGUUUUAAUGCUUUGUUUUAGAAAAAGAGUUCAAUAAAGUCACAAAAACAAAAACAUUGCCAUUUUUAUUGUUUUGAAAAAAAAAGAUGAAAACAAAAAUAGAAAGAAAGGGAUCACAAAAUUUGAUUGCAAAACGUCCUUUAUUAAUGAUAAUCAUUAAAACAUGAUGAGGCCCUACAAUGAACCACUACGCCUUGGGCAGAGCGUAGGGCUUUCAUGCAAAAUGAAAAAACAAAAGAAAAUUACUUUGUCUGAAGAGUAACUUG